rnacentral:lncRNA from 1 species
UCUAUAACACCUUACUUUAGAAAACUUUACUUUACCUCUUGCCAAACAAAGUAUAAGGGUAUAAAUUUGUGCAUAGAUAUUUGUAGCCCCUCCCCCACCAACAAAAAAAAAAAAGAAAAAAGAAAUUAUUUUAUGGAUUACAUGAACUGGAACACAUAAAAGAGCCUUCAAGAAAGAAGAAUUGUUUCUCUAUUCUUAAGGAUAUGUGGUUUGAAACUUUUGUCUAAUUGGACAACACUUCAUGGAACAUUUUCAUCUCAUCUUGUAAAUUAUUCUAUUUUUUGUACUAAGUUGACACCACUUUGGUGUUGUUCUAUCAUCUUUUAUUAGCUAAAAAAUAAUAAUAAUACUUGCAUACAAUAAAAGAAUAGUGGGCCAGUAACUGUUAUCAAAUGGUUACCUUAUGUCUCAAAUCAAACAAUCUUUUAGAAAGAAGAAAGAGAUCUCUCAAGCAGAAUUACCAGUCUUUCCAUUAGUUGAUCUAAACAUUAUACAGAUGGCAGGUCAACAAAUUAGGCAGCCAAGAGCAAUGGUCAAGAUCAUUUCAAUAUAAACCAAUGUUAUAAGUUAUAGGGAGUAAAUAUGUUAAUAUAGGAAGUAAAUAUCGAUAGAUGGAUCAAUUACUUAAUCUUAGGAUUAUAUAAUCAUAGACUUGAUUUUCCUUUCUGUUUAGAUAUCGCCUCUCAUGUAUAAAUAGGUUGUAAUCUCUAUUAUGAAAUACAACAACAAAUAUUAUAUUUCUACAUGGUAUCAGAGUCAUUCUCGUAGAGAUUUAAUUUUUUUUUUCUCUCGUCAAGUUUUAAAAUUUUUGGAGACUUAGGGCUCAUAUUCUUUUGUGUUAUUCAUCUAGGGUAAUAUUUGUCUCUCAUCGUCCACCUAGAGAGUACGCCGAAGUUGUCUUACAACUCGCUUAUCAAAUCUGUGGUUUGUUUGCCGUUUAGAUGUUGGGUGGAAGCUUUUAGUUGUCUUGCAACCCGCUUAUCAGAUCUGUGGUUCGUUUGCCGUUUGGAUGUUAGGUUAUCUUCCUUUAAUUCAUUUGAAGGCAAAGGAGUAUAGAAUUUUGGUUGAAAUGGUUUUUGACAGUAAGACCCAUAUUAUUAAAAUUACCACAACGUCUUCAGUAGCGGCUAAGACAGGUAAAACGUGAUUUUGGGUUACCCAUAAAGCGUAACAUUUGAAGACUUAGGGCUCUAUUCAUUUGGGUUACUCAUAAAGGGUAACAUUUGGAGACUUAAGGCUCUGUUCAUUUUGGAUUACCCAAUAAAGGGUAACAUUUGGAGACUUAGGACUCUAUUCAUUUGGGUUACCCAUAAAAGAUAACAUUUGGAGACUUAGGUUAUGUUCAUCGGGAUUACCCAUAAAGGUAUCAUUUGAAAACUUAGAACUCCGUUCAUUUGGAUUAUCCAGUGUAACAUUUAGAGACUUAGAACUCUUUUCAUUUGGGUUACCCAUAAAGGAUAACAAUUGGAGACUUAGGGCUCUGUUCAUCAGGAUUACCUAUAAAGGGUAACAUUUGGAUACUUAGGACUCUGUUCAUCGGGGUUACCCAUAAAGGGUAACAUUUGGAGACUUAGAACUUGUUUAUUUGGCUUAUCCAUAAAGAGUAAUAUUUAGAGACUUAGAGUUCUGUUCAUCAGAAUUACUCAUAAAGGGUAACAUUUAGAAACUUAUGGUUCUGUGCAUUUGGGUUACCCAUAAAGGGCAACAUUUGGAGACAUUGGGCACUGUUCAUCGGGUAUUGUUCACGGGAACUGUUCACGAGUUACUGUUCACAGGUUCUAUUAUUAUGAUCCUUUGUUUAUUUUGAUUUUUUUGGGUUGGUUGUUCUUAUGACUAAAAUUGAUUAUAUAUGUAACAAGUUGAACAUGAUUAACAUUUAUACUCCAACUUGAGGGGAGUGUUAUAAGUUAUAGGGAAUAUAUAUGUUAAUAUAGAAAGUAAAUAUCGAUAAAUGGAUCAGUUACUUAAUCUUAGGAUUAUAUAAUCAUAGACUUGAUUUUUCUUCCUAUUUAGAUAUCGUCUCUCAUGUAUAAAUAGGUUGUAAUCUCUAUUAUAAAAUACAACAACAAAUAUUAUAUUUCUACAACCAACAAGAAUGAAAAAGCAUCAUUUUGGAUCUAGGAAUGGUUACUUCAACUUAAUUUUGAAGAUAUGCAAAUCCAAUCCCCGUACACAUUCUCGUACUUGUCUACUUGAUACUCAUAUCAAACUGUGAUAUACAAUUUCAUAUGUCAGAUUACCAUUGAAUUGACAACAUAACCAUAAAGAGAUAGGAAGCAAUAACAUGAAGUAAAUUCCUGCCUGGCUGGGUAACUUGGACUCAAAUGUCAAAUCUGGCUUAGCCAGAUGUAAAGGAGUUCCAGCCAACUGCAUGUGAAUAUUUCACAGCUAGUUCACUAAUAUUAAAUUGUAGUGGCGAUACAUUUUAUAAUUUAAUAUUAUUAAUUUUUAUUUUAUUCUUAUAUCUUAAAGUUUGAUUGUUGAUACUUUAUCAACAUUCUAAUAAAGUUAAAUAGCAAAAUGCACUUGAAUAGAAAAUUUUAGUUUCU